rnacentral:rRNA from 1 species
UCCUGGCUCAGAGUGAACGCUGGCGGCAGGCCUAACACAUGCAAGUCGAGCGGCAGCGCGUCCGACCACCCUCGGGUGGUCGGAUGGCGGCGAGCGGCGGACGGGUGAGGAAUGCAUCGGAAUCUGCCUCGUUGUGGGGGAUAACGUAGGGAAACUUACGCUAAUACCGCAUACGACCUACGGGUGAAAGUGGGGGACCUUCGGGCCUCACGCGAUGAGAUGAGCCGAUGCCGGAUUAGCUAGUUGGCGGGGUAAAGGCCCACCAAGGCGACGAUCCGUAGCUGGUCUGAGAGGAUGAUCAGCCACACUGGAACUGAGACACGGUCCAGACUCCUACGGGAGGCAGCAGUGGGGAAUAUUGGACAAUGGGGGCAACCCUGAUCCAGCCAUGCCGCGUGAGUGAAGAAGGCCUUCGGGUUGUAAAGCUCUUUCGGCCGGGAAGAAAUCGCACAGGUUAAUACCCUGUGUGGAUGACGGUACCGGAAUAAGAAGCACCGGCUAACUACGUG